GACGAACGCUGGCGGCGUGCUUAACACAUGCAAGUCGAACGGAAAGGCCCUGCUUUUGUGGGGUGCUCGAGUGGCGAACGGGUGAGUAACACGUGAGUAACCUGCCCUUGACUUUGGGAUAACUUCAGGAAACUGGGGCUAAUACCGGAUAGGAGCUCCUGCUGCAUGGUGGGGGUUGGAAAGUUUCGGCGGUUGGGGAUGGACUCGCGGCUUAUCAGCUUGUUGGUGGGGUAGUGGCUUACCAAGGCUUUGACGGGUAGCCGGCCUGAGAGGGUGACCGGCCACAGUGGGACUGAGAUACGGCCCAGACUCCUACGGGAGGCAGCAGUGGGGAAUAUUGCACAAUGGGCGGAAGCCUGAUGCAGCAACGCCGCGUGCGGGAUGACGGCCUUCGGGUUGUAAACCGCUUUCGCCUGUGACGAAGCGUGAGUGACGGUAAUGGGUAAAGAAGCACCGGCUAACUACGU
rnacentral:rRNA from 1 species